UUCAUUUUCAUGCUCCCACUCCUGGCCCAGCUGGAAAAAAUCUUUAUCUGCUUUUGUUAAAAUGUUCUUCUGCUGAGCAACCCCUCCUACCCCUUAUAUUGAAAAUAACAACGAACACUGGAACAUUAUGUUCCCUUCGUCUGAGUUAACUUAUUUGAUCCACAACAUAGCCCUCUGCCUAAUGUAUCACUGUCAUCCCCAUUUCGCAGAUGAAGAAAACAAAGGUCAAUGAAGCUAUAAGUGAACUGCCCUCAGUCAACAAUAGCUAGUGAGUAACUGAUCAGGCUCACCCAGAGUUUCCGACUCCAAAGUCCGUGUUUUUUUCUCAAACACCUCCCUGCCUCUCAGAGGUGACACAUAGAGGGCAGAAGGAAAGGGGCAGGGGAUUGGGUUGCCUUAAAGAGGCGUCUGGUAUCUCUAAGGGAAGUUGUGGAAUCAUUGCCGGUGUGAGCUCCUCUCUGGAUGGGACGCCAGGCCAGAAAGGGAGAGGCACCUAUGCAGAUCUUCAUUCAUUCAUUCAUUUGUGAAACAAACCGGGCAGGCCAUGUGCUGAUAGACACAGCAGGUUCUGCUCUCUAGUGACUAACAUUGUAGGCGGGGAAACAAGCCAACAUAAUGAACGGAGGUACAAGGUGGACUGUGGCAAAGUGGCAACAGUCAUUCAUUUAUUCGACUAACAUUUUCCGGGUGCCUACUGGGUGCCAGGCUCUGUCCUGGGCUGUCACAGCCAAAUGAAGACACUCCCUACCUGCCAGGAUCCUCCAGCCCAGCAGCCAUGGAAGAUGGCUCUGACUGAGGCUCCGGUGGUCUUCCCACAAUGCCAUGGCCUUUCUCUUCAUCUCCCAGGGAGCUGUCACUUCCCUGGUUGCCAGAGAACCUUUAACACUGACUUGGGAAGGUAGGAACUCAUGUUCCCACACACCGGGAAUGUUCUCUGUUCUCACUCUCCCCCUCACCCCUUCUAUUAAAUAACCAAACCCCAAGACCCUCUUCUAGGCAGACCCAGGUGGCCUACCAGCCUCCACUACUGUCAGCACCCACUGGGUCCCCUUUGGAACGGCAGGGUCCUCCUCCAGCUCCUUGCCCCAGAGUCCAGCUCAGCCUGCAACCUAAUAUCUAAGGAGUGUGGGAAGACUUGGUCCCUGAAAACCUAGCUCUUGUCCUUAGCAGGUGACUAUCAGAUAGGGCAGUGGUGGAACCACCUCCCCACACCUGUUCCCAGGACACAGAUGUGGGCAGCUGGUUACCCAGCUGGCUUGGGCUGUGGACCCCAAUGAGUGAGAAGGGGGGCAGGAAUGGAAGGAGAUGGAGAAAGAUGUGGAGGCAUCGACCUAGAGGGCUGCUGAGAGAAGGGGAUCAGUUUGGGAAGGGAGAAGCUGAAGAGGAAGUCUUGGGCAGCCUUGGGGGGAACAGAGUUCAAGGCUGGAUGGAAGGCAACCUAGAGUGAAUUCCUGGACGUGGGAGUGGGGGGUUUCAGGAGGAGGAGUCCAGAGAUCAGGACUGAGAGCAUGUAGCACCUCUCAGCCUUAGCAGGAGCCCAGGGUAUUGAUUUGUUAGAUUACUCAAUUUCACCCAUAUUGAUCAGGUAAUUGUUUUAUCUCAGGUCUCAUUUGAGCUCUGCAUUCUCCUGGCCCCUUCCCUCUCCCUCUUAUUCCUUCCUAUCAGCCUGACCCAGGGCUCCUUGAUACUGAAUAUAGACACAAAAGUUUGGUUGGCCUGCCCCAAGUUCAUGUGUGUGUGUGUGUGGGGGGGGGUAUCAGGGUUAGAUGCGGGGAGGGAGACCAGCAUCCCCCUGGAGUCCCCGAGUUCUCUUCUGCAAGAAAUCCUUCCUGGCUCCAGACGGUAGACAUGUCUGCCCAUCUCGUGUCCUCAAAGGUCCCGAAAAGAGCUGGGGACGUAGAAUUAGUGGGCAACAGCUGCCAUCUGCCUUUUCCCACUGUGACCCCCCCCCCUCGACUCCCACUGCCCACCCCACUCCGAAGCCAGGCUUUUGGAUGUCUCUUCAUAAGGCUGCACAGCCUUGCCUGCACCCUCUUGCUACGUGUAAUGCCAGUUUCUCCCUGCCCUCUCUGCGGCCGUGUGUGUGUGUGUGUGUGUGUGUGUGUGUGUGUCCUUGCUGCCUGUGUGUUCUUCAUACUGUCACCCACUUCCUUGCUAUCUUCAGGGAGCCUUGGCCAAAUCUCCUCCGUGCUCACCCCUGACACCCCCACCUCCCCGCCCCAGGGCUUGGACAGAGGAAGAGGAACUAGGAAAGGAGACUCAGCCCCUCUUAGGGCGUCUACAGACUAAGGAAGGAGGGAUUCCCACGCUGACCCCUAGUCUGCAACCAGGUAAUCCCUAGUCUGAUGGAGAAGAUACGGUUUCCUCUGGGAGCCAACAGCUCCUGGCUUCCCAAAGCCCCCGGUCUGAGGGAAGAGACAGAACCCGUCUGAGAAACAGACAAGAAGAGCCCCACAGAGGUAAACAGACUGGGCCCAGAGGAGAGUGAACACAGCAGGAUCCUGGGCAAGAUCCAGUUCUCCCACUGCCUUCCAGAGCUCAGCCCAGGGCCCAGCUCAGAGGCCAGCGAGGCAGGGACUCAACAAACACUGCAACUGCAAUUUGCAAGCAGGACGGCCCCCAGCCCAGGUGUGGAGUUUGUGGGGUCAAGAGGACAUGUCCACCUUCGGCCAUGCCCCUUCUUCUGGCCCAGGGUCUGGGUUCAGGGAAUCAGCCUCCCUGAGGAGCGCCCAGGGGUGCGCAGUCUCUGCCCUGGGCCCACUCUCCUGACUCUUCCUCACAGACGCACCUGCGGGUGUCAGGAGUGGCCCAGGGCGCAACGAUUGUUAGCAUUAAAGCUCUGUUUUCGAAACUUCUACGGAGAACUCGGUUGAUAGAACUGAUACAAGCCCGUGUGACCCCCAAUAAGGCAGUUUCAUCCUCAUGGUUAUUGGUGUAACCCCCUCAAACACCUUGAAGUGCCAGAGAGCCAAUGUCAGGGCAAUCCGAAAAGCACUACGUUGCCCGAGCCGGUUUGGCUCAGUGAGUGAAGCACUGGCCUGCAGACUGAAGGGUCCUGGCUUCGACUCGGUCAAGGGCACAUGCCUUGGGUUCAGGCUUGAUCCCCAGGAGGGGGCAUACAGGAGG